rnacentral:lncRNA from 1 species
CAUUGUUUCUACACAAAAAAUGAAGAAACCCUAAGAGAGAGAGAGAGAGUCUGUCGACGGAUGGCGAGGAAGGCAAAGAGAAAGAAGAGCGAAUGAGGGAAAAAAAAACUAGAUCAACAUUGUUAUUGGGAGCAAGAGGUAAGAUCAUUUUUAGCCCUUUUCGAUUUGAAUUUGAGUUUAAAGUGCAUGUUAAUUCAUUUAAAUUGCAUGAGGAAGAUUUAGAAUGGAAAUCUUGAAACCAGAGUAAGGUGUAGCAUCAUAUGAAUUUACAAAUGGGCAAACAUACAUGUGUAUUUCCUUAUCUUUGAAAUAAAUGUUAAAUAUGGGUGUGUUGUUUUUGAAGAAGAGGACUCAUAUGUGUUGGUGGUUCGAGUAUUUUGUGCAUAAAACUAGUGAGAUAUGGCUAAGAUAAUGAGGUGAGUUUCAUCAAGUAAUGGUUCAGGAAAGGAAAAAAAGAAGAGGAAAAGUGUUCAGGGUGAUGGAGAAUAGUGAACCAAAUAAAGUUAGGUUGAAAGAAAUUCUCAGAUGACUCACAUAAUUAAUUUAAAGAUUUAUUACUGGGAAUGAUAUUAAACUAGGACUGUUGAAGUAAGCCUUGAAGGGAGUUGAGUGUUGAAUCUAGAAUAUGUUGGGUAGAAAUGAAACAAAAUUGGGAGGGUUAAAUGAUCCAAACUAGAGGCUAGAUGUAGGAUGGGAUUAAGUUGGAACUAAAACAUAUUUUUCUGUGUUGAUGAUCUCUCGUUGUGGUGUGUGUGUGGCCCAUGUUGGCCAUGUGAUGUGGAACAGCUGACCCAUGCUCAGUC